rnacentral:rRNA from 1 species
GCUGACGACCGGCGCACGGGUGCGUAACGCGUAUACAACCUACCUUUUGGAGGGGAAUAGCCCAGGGAAACUUGGAUUAAUGCCCCAUAGUAUGGGAAUAUCUCCUGAUAUUUUCAUUAAACAUUUAUGGCCAUUAGAUGGGUAUGCGUCCUAUUAGUUAGUUGGUAAGGUAACGGCUUACCAAGGCAGCGAUAGGUAGGGGUCCUGAGAGGGAGAUCCCCCACACUGGUACUGAGACACGGACCAGACUCCUACGGGAGGCAGCAGUGAGGAAUAUUGGACAAUGGGCGAGAGCCUGAUCCAGCCAUGCCGCGUGCAGGAAGACUGCCCUAUGGGUUGUAAACUGCUUUUACAGAGGAAGAACCACUCCCACGUGUGGGAGUUUGACGGUACUCUGCGAAUAAGGAUCGGCUAACUCCGUGCCAGCAGCCGCGGUAAUACGGAGGAUCCAAGCGUUAUCGGGAAUCAUUGGGUUUAAAGGGUCCGUAGGCGGGCAGUUAAGUCAGUGGUGAAAGUCUUCCGCUCAACGGGAGAACUGCCAUUGAUACUGAUUGUCUUGAGUUAUUAUGAAGUGGUUAGAAUGAGUAGUGUAGCGGUGAAAUGCAUAGAUAUUACUCAGGAAUACCGAUUGCGAAGGCAGAUCACUAAUAAUAUACUGACGCUGAUGGACGAAAGCGUAGGUAGCGAACAGGAUUAGAUACCCUGGUAGUCUACGCCGUAAACGAUGGUUACUAGCUGUUCGGCCCGAUUAAGGGCUGAGUGGUUAAGCGAAAGUGAUAAGUAACCCACCCUGGGGAGUACGUUCGCAAGAAUGAAACUCAAAGGAAUUGACGGGGGCCCGCACAAGCGGUGGAGCAUGUGGUUUAAUUCGAUGAUACGCGAGGAACCUUACCAGGGCUUAAAUGUAGUCUGACAGGAGUGGAAACACUUUUUUUUUCGGACAGAUUACAAGGUGCUGCAUGGUUGUCGUCAGCUCGUGCCGUGAGGUGUCAGGUUAAGUCCUAUAACGAGCGCAACCCCUGUGGUUAGUUGCCAGCGAGUAAUGUCGGGAACUCUAGCCAGACUGCCGGUGCAAACCGCGAGGAAGGUGGGGAUGACGUCAAAUCAUCACGGCCCUUACGUCCUGGGCCACACACGUGCUACAAUGGUAGGGACAGAGAGCAGCCACUUCGCGAGAAGGAGCGAAUCUACAAACCCUAUCACAGUUCGGAUCGCAGUCUGCAACUCGACUGCGUGAAGCUGGAAUCGCUAGUAAUCGCAUAUCAGCCAUGAUGCGGUGAAUACGUUCCCGGGCCUUGUACACACCGCCCGUCAAGCCAU